UGGGGCUGUCAUGUCCAGUCUGCCCCCCUCCCCUACAUGCUGGCCUCCACUUUGGGAAUUUUUGUCACAGAGUCCUUCCAUCAGAAUGAUUCUUAAAACAGCCCUCAGCCUUAAUUUAAGCCUUGAUGUCAAUAUAAAUUAGUGGGUUCCCAGCAUGGAGAUUUAGGCCGUGGGGGAGGGGGCGUUUGUGGAGAAGGACUGUUUGCCUGGGAGGGAGCCCCAGAGAGCAACACAGGACUUGUUUGGGCAGGUUUCAGGUUUCAGGACAGUUCAGCCUCAGUGAGGAGACUGGGCUUCCUCCAAGGGCGCUGGCCUGACCCAGAGCCUCAACAGGAGCCCCCAGAGAGGGUGUCAGACUCCGGGGCAGUUGAGGCGGGGCCCUCUGGGAGGCGGGGGUGCGGUUUUCUGGCCCUGGUUCCUCUUCCACAGCCCCACCCUGGGUUCUGUGGGCCCUUCCAGGGAAACUCAGAAGAAUCACAGUGCUGCAACUUCUCACUUCAAAAGAAAACGUCCCUUUUAUCUCUCUGCUAAGAUUAGGAGGCCAGGCACAUUGACUUGUGUCUGAAUACUUUAAACACUCUUGGGAAAACAUAAACAGGAUUUAUAUGAAAUGCUUUAAUCCCCCCAAAGAGCAGUGAACUCUCCUGAAAGGGCACCAGCCCUCCGAGAGUUGCCUGAGAUCAUAUUUGCUGGUGUCUGUUUCUCACCUGGGCCUUGGCAGUGGCCUAACUUCAAUCACAGACCUCUCCCUGGGGCUCCGUGGACACAGGUGCUACACUGGGGACACAGAAACAUGUUUCCCUUGGGAUGAGCUGCCAUGUGUCAGAAGCCUUGCCCAGCUUAUGUGGCUGAAAGACUUGGGAUAUAGGAGGCGAGAGGAGAGAAGAUACCAUGAGAACAUAAAAAAGCAAGCCUCAGACUGGGAGAAAACAUGGACGGAUUUGUAAGGAGACAUAUUAAGAACUCUUGCACCUUGAUGACUAAUAACCCAAAGAAAAAAUGGGCCAAAGACCAGGACACUUACAAAGAAGGUGCACAAAUGUCUGAGCAAGUGAAGUGAUGCUCAGGGAAAGAUGAAGGAAAUGGCAGCAAAAUACCACCACGCGCUCGUUGGCUUGGCUGCAGUUAAAUUAACUCCAAGUGCUGGUGAGGACAGGGAGCAGCUUGCCGGUGGGGAUGAGAGAAGGCAGAGUGUUUUGAAAACAUUUUGGCAGGUCCUUUAAAAGUGAAUUGUACACGAAAUCUGUGACCCAACCCAGCCUUCCCAGUCCUAAGUCAAGUUACUCAAGAGAAACAGACAGGUGUGUCCAGGACAUGAAUGUUCAUUGCAGCUUCGUUUUAAGUAGCCCAAAGAGGAAACAACCCACAUGUUCAUUCUAAGGGUAAGUGAAAACCCAUUUCUCCGUUUCUAUAAAUAGGCCACAGAACCAUUUUCCCUUUCUUGAGUGUUUUCUGGGAGACACAGCAAGUCUCGUCCUUGCUCUGUUUGAAGAGUCCGUCUCUCCAGGAAGGAGCUGGGCUCCAGCGUUAUGGGGAAAGGUGUUUCUCUACCCAAGCAGACGGACUCAGGAAUGAGCUCCAGGCUCCUUCAUGGGAAAUGUGACACCGAGUGGAGCGGUGGUUUAGUCUCUGGGAGAUAAGAGAAAUGAUUGUUCUUUCUUUUCCUUGGCUUCGUCAAUAUAUCAGAUUUUCCCCCGACUUUGUAGUCAUUCUCCAGCUGCAGUA